CAUUAUGCCUCUUUCUCUGUGCUUAUUUCUGUGUAUUAGGUGAGUUGGCUGUGUCUCCUAAUCUUGGAGAAGUGGCCUUAUGUAUGAGAUGCCUUAUGAGGCACAGCAGUGUACUUCCCUCUCAUCACCAGUCCAUAAGAACCAGGAGUGACCCUUUUGUGAACUACUUGUGUCUUUCUGCUGUGGCAGGGUUGCUCCCACUGCAGGUACCCAGGGAGUCUAGUCUUUCCUUCCCUGGUCAGCUGUUUGUAAAUCUGGCUUGGGGAGCCUCAGCACUGUUGGCUACAAAGUCUAUCAGCACACUCCUAUUGCAGUUUUCCUCUUAAUUGGUGGGUGUGGCAGAUCCCUGGGCUAACAGGCCAAGGGAUGAACCUCAAUAGCACCCACCUGGGUCCAUGUCAGCAUGGCUGGACCAGCUCAGAACAAUGGCUCCACCAAUGUCUCAGUCUCCGGAGAGGUCCUUCCUCCCACCAAGAUGCUCCCGGAGCCCUCCAGAUGUGAUGCAUCUGAAGACAGUUGCAGAGAGGAAGACAAGAAGAUCAGGAACCACCUGACAGGAGCUCAAGUCCCUCCUGAGAAGACAUCAGCAUUUCUGUCUUACCUUCACUCACUUUCUAAUAUCUACCACAUCUUUUCUCUGAACAGUAAACACACAAAAUAAAUAACUAUUAUUUUACUGGUGUCACCACAAAAUAAAGUACACUUCAGAUGUUUUUCUUUCACACAGUUACUUCAACCCUUCUCUUCCACUUGUCAUUUAUCAACCACUCACUUUAGAAAGUAUUGAAAUAUAAGACUUUUUUAAAAAUAGGAUGUGUGCAUAUGUCAGAGAACUCCACAUGUUAU
rnacentral:lncRNA from 1 species